AAGUGACCUGUAAAACGAGGGCCAGUUAGGUUAACAGGCAGACUACACAUUAAGGUUAUUUAUUCCAAAAUGUUGCCAUUUGCUCUAAACUCUCUAUCCUAUUUCAUGUUUGAUAAUUAAUUCAUCACUCUGUUAGGCUGGGGCUACCAUUGAAAUCAGUGAUGACUCCGAAAUUUCUGUAGGAGGGGUUUUAGGCAGUGGGCAAUUCAGUCUGAGAAAGGGGUGUGAAUCCGUGUGGACAGCCCUUUACACUGGCAUGGGAAAACAUCUCCUUCCCACCUUGGCUCAGGUAGGCGUGACAACACCACUUUUUUAAAGGUGACUCUUGUGCACAUAUCUAGAGAAGGCAGGAUGUUAAAGCCUGCAACUUAAAUAGUUUUCUUGAAACACUACUAAGACUAGAACCCAAAUGACUUUUUUUUCAGAGCCCUUAUAGUAAUCUGUUUUAUUACUUAUUACCUGACACAACCCUAGUGCAUAAAGAUGUGUCAUCUUCUUAUUCCCAGUGCCUUGCAUAUGGCUGAGCACAUAGUAAUGGUUUUCAAAGUCACCUCCUUAAGGGGUGGAUCUGCUCUUAUAAUGGGAUUUCUACAGUCAGUGUGGAUUUACUUCCUUUCACAUUUCACAGGAAGUGAGACUUCUUAAACUUAAGUUUCCUUAACUGGUUUUAUUUAAAUUGAACUAAAACUUUUACAUGGAAAUAACUUAAAAUACUGUUUCAGAAUGCAACCCACUUCCUCUGCCUUUUCAAAAUAAAACACCCCACAUUUUUGAAGAGAAUCAUAUAAUUGAAAAUCUCCAAAUUAAUCCCCCCGCCCCCCGCAUAAAACAUAUUUUUGUGCCUCCCCCAAAUAUCUUAUACAUAGUAAAUAAU